GACGAACGCUGGCGGCGUGCCUAAUACAUGCAAGUCGAGCGGACUGAUUAAGAGCUUGCUCUUAUGACGUUAGCGGCGGACGGGUGAGUAACACGUGGGCAACCUGCCCUGUAGAUCGGGAUAACACCGAGAAAUCGGUGCUAAUACCGGGUAAUAUCUGAGAUCACAUGAUCUUAGGUUAAAAGAUGGCUCCGGCUAUCACUACAGGAUGGGCCCGCGGCGCAUUAGCUAGUUGGUAAGGUAAUGGCUUACCAAGGCGACGAUGCGUAGCCGACCUGAGAGGGUGAUCGGCCACACUGGGACUGAGAGACGGCCCCGAAUCCUACGGGAGGCAGCAGUAGGGAAUCUUCCGCAAUGAACGACAGUCUGACGGAGCAAAGCCGCGUGAGUGAUGAAGGGUUUCGGCUCGUAAAGCUCUGUUGUUAGGGAAGAAACAGUACCGAACGAACUAGGUCGGUACCUUGACGGUACCUAACCAGAAAGCCACGGCUAACUACGUG
rnacentral:rRNA from 1 species